GGGGUAUAGCUCAGUGGUAGAGUAUUCGAAUGUAGAUCGAGAGGUCCCCAGGUGGAAAACCGGGGGUCCCCU